CUCCUACGGGAGGCAGCAGUGGGGAAUAUUGGACAAUGGGGGCAACCCUGAUCCAGCCAUGCCGCGUGUGUGAAGAAGGCCUUUUGGUUGUAAAGCACUUUAAGCAGGGAGGAGAGGCUAAUGGUUAAUACCCAUUAGAUUAGACGUUACCUGCAGAAUAAGCACCGGCUAACUCUGUGCCAGCAGCCGCGGUAAUACAGAGGGUGCGAGCGUUAAUCGGAAUUACUGGGCGUAAAGCGAGUGUAGGUGGCUCAUUAAGUCACAUGUGAAAUCCCCGGGCUUAACCUGGGAACUGCAUGUGAUACUGGUGGUGCUAGAAUAUGUGAGAGGGAAGUAGAAUUCCAGGUGUAGCGGUGAAAUGCGUAGAGAUCUGGAGGAAUACCGAUGGCGAAGGCAGCUUCCUGGCAUAAUAUUGACACUGAGAUUCGAAAGCGUGGGUAGCAAACAGGAUUAGAUACCCUGGUAGUCCACGCCGUAAACGAUGUCUACUAGCCGUUGGGGUCCUUGAGACUUUAGUGGCGCAGUUAACGCGAUAAGUAGACCGCCUGGGGAGUACGGCCGCAAGGUUAAAACUCAAAUGAAUUGACGGGGGCCCGCACAAG
rnacentral:rRNA from 1 species